rnacentral:lncRNA from 1 species
UUCGGGAGAAGGUGAGAGUGGCUCCCAUUAAUGACAAGAUGUAGGAAGCGAGGCUCAGAUGGUUCGGAUACGUUUAAAAGAGAAGCCCAGAUGCUCCGAUAAGGAGGUGUGAGCGGCUGGCUUUGGAGGGCAUGAGAAGAGGUAGAGGAUGACCUAAGAAGCAUUGGGGAAAGGUGAUCAUGCAGGACAUGGGCUUCAGAUUUUCGAGGACAUGGCCCUUGAUAGAAAGCUGUGAAGGUCGAGUAUUAGGGUUGUAGGUUAGGAGGUAGUUGAGUCUUUCCUUACUUUGUACCUUUAUGAGGCUAGUCUGGUAGGAUUUUUGUCAGAGUCAGUUAGGGUAAUGGUGGUACUGAUAUUGUCUUUUUUCGUCUUCAUGAGCCAAGGAUCUUUUGGAAAUAGCUUCUCUACUCCCUCGGGGUAGGGGUAAGGUCUGCUUUCACACUACCCUUCUCAGACCUCACUAGUAGGAUUUUAAUAGGUCGUAGUCGUUCUUAUUGUCUAUGUUUAAAAAUGCACAAAAUGCAACUAAAUGCAAACGAAGAAUUAAAAAGAAAUUCCUAAAAUUCUAUAAAAAUCAAAACAACUAGAAAAAGCUUAUUUAUAUUUUUUUUAUUUUGUGGGAGUAUUUUCAUCGGGCAAAAUUUACGUGCUCACAGCUAUCCCUCAUUUCUCGAAAACAUGAAGAGUUUUUGGGCAAAGAUAAAGUGAGCAAUUACGAGCAAUUUUUUGCCCAUUUGACUACUCCAUUCGGAAACAUUUUGAAAAAGUUUGACCGGACCUUGCUUCAGAGGUUUCCUACAUAUCCUUCGUGAUAAAGUAUUAUGCCCCGCAGUAUUACGUCAAUGUUAUGCACCGUAGUAUUAUAUUACGAUGAUUUUACGCCUCGCAGUAUUAUAUUAUGAUGAUGUUACACCCUGCAGUAUUACGUCGAUGUUACGUUUCGUAGCAUUAUAUUACGACGAUGUUACACCCUGUAGUAUUGUACGUUGAAUUUGUCAUAAGAUAAUUGACAUUAGUUCAAGGACAAGAUUAUUUGGAGAUUAUAAGUAUUAUGCUGUUUCAAGCAAGUUCGUGAAGGUGAGAAAGUAAGCAAGUCGAAGAAAAUGAGUUUCAUUGAAGAUUUUCGAGUUGGGAUAAACAAACGAUCCGAGCUAUAGUGCCUAGUAUUUAUGGAUUAGUUCCAUACAAGGUACUAUAUGACCAUGAUAGUAAGGUGUAUAAGGUAUGUUAAAAGUGAGUAGCAUUUUAAGUAAGUUGAGAUAAUUCUUAAUUAAGUGGGUAAUUGGUCAAUUAUUGGGUAACGGGAUAUUACCUAAUUAACUAAGAAAUUAUGGGAUAAGAUUAAACUCCCCCCCCCCUCCCAAAAAAACGUGGUAGCAACCCAUCACUUAUAAAGUGACUCUUAAAGUCUUGCAUAGAUGUCACAUUUUGGAGGAUUUAAAGUGGAUUAGUCAUCCACUAAGUGGACCACCCCCACUAAAGGUUUCCUACAACUACUAAGAUUUUUAUUCCUUAGUAACAAAGGAUUAAAGAUCGAGAAUUGAAUUGAAUCUCUUAGGGAGUGGGCUGAUAGUGAGUUUACAUCUUACUACAAUUAGUUUUCUUCAUGUUUCGUAAUAUGAAUUCAUGUGUGCCUUAAAAUCCAAUUGAAUCUCUUAUAGAGAGUGGCUGGUCGUGAGUUCUUCAAAGAGCAAAACAAUCCAUACCAAAAAUAGAUAAUGUUCGUUGUUGAUUUUGUAAAGCGUGAAUUGAAAAUUCUAAGAUAAUCGGUUCAAGUAUGUUAAGGUUAUCCCUUCUUUAUUUUGGCAUGCUCUAUAUGACACAAAUAAAACGAGCAAAUGCACAACUUCCAAAAAUGACUAAUUUCGUAGAAAUGCUACAGAUGUGUAUAUUCUUGUUUUUCCAUAAGUCUUAUUAUUCUAUCAUUUGUUCAUGGGUCUCAGAAAAUACGUAAGGUGAUAAAGUUUAUUUCAUGAUAUUAAUCAGAGGCAUAAUGGUCUUAUGACACUCCGAAAGAUUUUAUUGGCAUACUUCUCUUACAUUGCAUUCAUUUAUAUUGACCCAUGGCCAGAUGGCGUUAUAUAUGUGUAUGUAUAUAUAUAUAUAUAUAUAUAUAUAUAUAUAUAUGGUAAAAGGUUAUGGCGUUAUAUAUGCACCACCACCUGAUCAACUGGUAUACGUUGAUGAUUUGCUGAGAGUGGCCGAGAUGAUAUGAUGGGAUGCCCUCAGAGGCUUGAUGAUGUUAUGAAUGCAUAUACCCAUGCAUGGUAUGACAUUUAUAUGCAUAUGCAUGACAUUAUAAUAUAAAAUAAUUCACAGAGCUAUUCAGAUAUACAUGUUGAGUCUUUUACUAUAUGUUUCUCUCAUGUCUAUUGUUUACUAAUUUUCAUUCCUUACGUACUCGGUACAUUAUUUGUACUGAUGUCCCUUUUUCCUGGGGGCGCUGCGUUUCAUGCACGCAGGUCCCGAUAGACAAGUUGAGAUUCCUCCAAGUAGGCUAUCAGCUCAGCGGAAGAUGUUGGUGUGCUCUAUUUGCUCCGGAGUUGCUUAUUUGUUUAGUAUGAUUUAGACAUGUAUUGAUUAGUAUAUCGGGGCCCUGUCCUGGCCUUAUGAUGUUUAUGUACUCUUAAAGGCUUCUUGACGUAUGUCAUGUAUAUGAAAUAAUGCAUGACCUUGUCGGCCUAUGUUCAGUGUACGAGUGAUUAUUUUGGCCUUAUAGGCCUGUACGUCAUAUGUAUAAGUUAGUAUAUCAGGCUGGGUCGUUUUAUGUCGAGUGUUCCCUCAUGUUUUAUUCUUGUUAACCCAUACGGCCCUUCUAGCCCAUUUACCCACGUUGAUGUAAUGAGAAAUAUACAUUACGGUUGUACUCGGUAAAGUAAGGUACUGGGUGCCCGUCGCGGCCCAUCGGUUUGGGUCGUGACAGAAGUGGUAUCAGAGCAGUUUAGUCCUAGGGAAUCUACAAGCUGUGUCUAGUAGAAUCUUAUUUAUGGGUGUGUCGUACACCAUACUUAUAAGCAGGGGUAUAUAGGAAAUUUAGGAUUGUCGCUCUUUCUUCUUACUCUAGAUCGUGUGAUAGAGCUCACUUAUAAGAAUUCAAACUCCUAACUACUAUUCGUAAUAAAAUGAUACCUACAUCUAAAAUGACAGUUAGUAAGAGAUUGAAUGUGGCUAUGGAAGAAUUGAGUCAGGGGAAUGUGAUUUUUUAUGAUGCUUAUGACGAGUAAGUGUAAAGUCUUCAGCAUAUCAUGUGUGUACUAAUACGUGUAAGCUUCUUGUAUGCGGCGAAAUCAGAAGAUGUGAUUUCUCGCUAUUAAGCCACUUUGGAAGGAUACCUCGAGACCCCGAGGAUGUGGAGUUGCGACCGAGUCCCCACCCUCGGGCUCGUCAAGGCCCGACUCAAAGAAGACGAAGACCAAGGCUAGAGCAAAGGGAGAAACUCCCAAGGCACGCGGCUAAAUCUGACAGAGCCGGUCUAUCCAGAGAUUAUGUCGAAGUGUCACGUCUAGCCAUCCCAUCCCCAUAAUUUACAAUUAAUGCAUAUUGUACUAUAACUGGGUUCCCCUCCUAUAUAAAGGGAACCCACACUACUUUGUAAAGGGCUGAUGUUGCUCCACUUACUCUCUACAAGAACAAUAAUAUCUCUCUCUCUCUUUCUUCUCUCUAACUUGUUCGUUCUUACUAGCUCGAGGCAACUCUUAGCAUUCAUUAGUUUCUUACUUGUUCUUCAUUUAUUGCUUGGAAUUGGCUAUAAAGAGCCUUACUUGAUCAUAUCUUGACUGGUUGAUCAUAUCUUCAUCGACCAGUCCAAGGCUCGAGCAGCAAACCCCUCGGUUUGAUUACUGCCCCGAUUUAGUUUGUAUCUCUUCGUUAAACUUCAUCUUCUUAGCAUCAACUGCUCUAAACAACUAGCACAAAAAUAGAUCACGUAUUUUUAGAAUCCCAUUUUACAAAUUUAAUUGUUGUUACCAUUUUCCCGGUAAAUAUUUUGGCGCCCGCCGUGGGGCUAAAAAUAAUAGUGAUCAUUUUCUUGUUGGUUUCACUACAAAAACGCAAGUUAUCUUUCACACUUUUUCUUGUCCAAGAUCUCUUGAUUUUAGGUCGAAAUGUCUGGCUCGGUAAACAGGGUUGAGAACGACUACCUAGAAAAUCACGGCAAAAAUGGUGUGGUUGUUCCAGCCAUUGGCGCGCCACAGUAGAACCCCGAUAACGCACCUGGACUGAUUCCAGCGGACGCGGGUUCUCAAGACACGCACAGGUCGACGAAACCUCAUACACCGAUGGAAACAAACAACAUGGCGACCAACAGGAAGCCCAAAAGACCCCAGCCCGGGAAGAACAGGUAGUCUUUAUGUUAUUUUUGAAAUGUUGUAGGUAGAGUAGCUGGCUAUCUCUCAGUUGCAAAGCCAUCCGAAGGCUCCCAGCACAGUAGCGCCGGAAACUACUCUCCCAACCGAACGGGUACCGGAGAGGACAAGCAAUAGCGGAUCGGUAGCCGAUCCUACAAUAGUAAAGAUGCUUGAGGACCUCACCAAAAGGAUCGAAUCAGGUGAGAAAUUUAUAGCAGCCAGCGAUAAGAGGGUCGAGACCUACAACUCUAGGGUCGACCAAAUCCCGGGCUCGCCCCCGGUCCUGAAAGGUGUAGGUUCGUGGAAGUUCGUGCAAUGGUCGUUCCUCGAGGAAGCGGCCCCAAAACCCAUUUCAAAAAAGUUUAAAACGCCAAAACUCCCUAAGUACAACGGGCACUCAGAUCCUAACGAAAACAUCACUACUCAUGCGUGCGCAGAAAAAAGCAACGACCCAAAAGAUGAUAAGAUUGAAUUCGUCUUAUUGGAGAGGUUAGGGGAAACACUCUCGAGAGAAACCAUGAUGUGGCGUCAUAACAUAACGCCCGACCCCAUAAACUCGCCUACCUUACCGGCAGAUUUCUCCAUAAAGGCACAGGCCAUUCCCAUCGAAGCAAUGACGAGAAAGCCCGUUACAUCGAGGGCCGAGCAAAGGGAGAAUGAAACGCUGUGAGAGUUCGCAUCUCAUUCCCAAAUGGAACAAAUGGGAUUAUCCCCAGUCUCAGUUGACUGGGAAAUAAAAGCCUUCACUCAAAGCCUAAACAAACCAAGCCCGACAAUUUUAGGGCAGUCCAAACAAAACUUGAUUGGGUACCCAGCUAGGAUCUGGUUGGAUGCCCGUACCCAGCACCAGUCGCAAAUCAGGGUCGUAGAUAACCAUCUGGGAGCCUCCGCGGGCUCAGUAUACCCAAGCAGGCUCCUGGCAGAGAAACCUAUGCCAAACAGAGAAAGGUAUCGCCCAUACGCCGCAGAUAGGAGGAACUCCCCGAGAUGCAAUCUACCUCGCAACAAUCGGAGAACGGAUCGAGGAUGAUAUCCUCAAAGAAUCAUUGAUAGAGCCGGAUUCGAUGGGGACACAAGGACAGCGGGGGUUCCUCGCCCAUCAGAGUACAAUUUCAACAUCGUUAUACCAAACAUCGUGUUCACCGUCAGCGAAACCAGGGACGUCAAAUGGCUCAGACCAAUUUGGUCGAAUCCCCCUUAGGGGAAUCACAGCUUGAUGUGUGAACUGUAUAACGCGCACGACCACGGAGCCAAAAAUGGACACCAGCUCAGGAGGAAAACAGCCUUGCUACUAAAUAAAAAUUACCGCCGAGAACUGUUGAACGAUCAGGCUCGGGUUCAUUUCCGAGUACGGAAGAAGGCCAGGAAGAACAAAGCUAAUGAGCUGCGACGUAUUUCCACGAUAGUGGAGAAGCGGUGACACCCUCCAAGAACUCAUAAAAAGGAGAGAAACAAUUCUCGUCACCAGAAAGAAACGGACCCGGGGAUACAUUCCCGAGGACACCCUCACAUUCAGCAAAAAAGACACCGAGACCUUGUCUCGGCCUCACAUUGACGCAUUGGUAACCUUCUUCCUCAUUUAAUCCAUUUCAAAUAAAACAUAUGCUCAUGAAUUUAGGUGGUUCGAUCAACCAUUGUCAGACCGAUAAUGAUCUGGCGGUUCAGACCGCAGGGUCAAAACACAACCACCUCUCGAAUCUUUGAUGGAUUCCAAACGGCGAUCGCUAAGACAAGGAGAAAGACCAUUCUCUCAGUACAGCAUGGCUAGCCCAGAUCUGAACGCCGAGUUCCAAAUCAUCAAAGGAGACGCAAGGCACGGACGUCUCAUCCAGAUAACCACGGGCACACCACCCGAAGACAGUGUCGUCCCCACUUCGCCAAAAGGAUGAAAUUCCACGCAAGGGAUGGAAUUAAAAUAGUCAGCGGGAAGCAAUACGCGGCAAGGGGAAAUUUCGCAUUACAUGACGCAUCGCCAGCACCAAUACCUCCACUCUUGAAAAGAGUCAAAGGGUAAGCGAACCACAUCUUCAACCAAGCCCGAUUAAACACAGUGGAGGGAUAUACUAGGGUCCUCACCCUGAAACAGCAUGGACAUAUAAAACCUCGAAACAUCGCCUGCACAUCCCGUGGUAAAGAAAAACUACCUCCCUCCUUCGUUAUUUUUCACUGACCUGUAUGUAGAGACCCGGCCAGGGAGUUCGGAAGUGCUAACUCUACCCGAAUAUCCCGAGGCCUUGACGAAGCCCAUCGCACUCUUUCCCCUCGGCCAGACUUCCGCCCCAAAGAGGGUCUCGCCAGCACGGUUCUUAGCGGAGCAACGUACCCCCUAAGGAGGAUCUGAUGAGAUCGCAGGCCUUCUUUUGCAAUCAAACAAUAAAGGGCACCCCCCGUAGAAGAUGACAUCCACUCGGAAGGGCCGGGGAACGGCAGACCGAGUUUCAAUAGGGAAUCAUGUACCGGACCGAACGGUCCAAGGAGCCGCGCCCGAGCGAGCCGAACUCACAACAACGAAACGACAUGUAUUUACGCCAAGCAAUAAAAGAAUAUCUUUCAGCAUCUCGUACUCCAAAAAAGGAAAUAUCAGCAUGCUCACGGCAAGGGUCCCUCCGCCGAAUGCAUCCCGAAAUACUCUGAGACUUAGCGUCAAUAAUUUGUCACCCGCACGACCCCAGGGUCGGAACUCCAGGCUCAUAAGGCCCCAACAAGGCAACUCCGAGCUCACGAAUAACGGCCUUUAAGCCUAAGCAAACUCGAUGACUCGGAGACUGUCAUCAGUCGUCGUAUACUGGAAAACCCAAAACUAUAAGACCCCGAGCGGGCAAACUCAGUAUAACCAGAUCUAUUUUACAUAGCAACAAAACUUUAAGACCUCAACAGGCAUGACAAACUGUAAGACCUCAACAGGCAUGAAAAUUUUGUAAGACCUUACUAUAGGCAUAAAACUUAAUCCCGAAGUUUAGGCUAUACGUCGCAUUUGUAAGAAUCCCGAAAGGGCAUACCCUCGGUGUAGAUGCCUAAACUAUCACUCGAGAUCGAAAAUGGCUCCGGCCAAACACAUAUGACUAUGGUCAACAGGAUUCCCUCAAUAGGAAUCUACUUCGAAUCUACUUCGAAAAGAAUCGGUUAAAACAGGAUUUCCUCAACAGGAAAAACGAUCUUCGACCGUGUCAGCUCCAAAUCACAAGGCUUCAAGCUACUCAGCCUACGAGCUAAAAACCUUCUAAGGUGCUCGAACAUCGCCGCUAACACUUGAAAUCGAGGUUCUUCCCUAACCGACGACGGGUCAGGCAAAAUUAUUUCAAAAAGACUUUAACGAGAGGAAAACAAAGCCUACAAUAUGCCCAUGGGCAAAAGCGUAAGAGCCAUUGUUUCCAGCCAAAUGAGCCUAUGGGCCGCACACCAAAAGGUCGCAACGACCAAACAACGUAAGAGCCACUGUUGCCAGCUUGAAAAUUGAAAACUUGAGGAUUAAAGUGAGCUCGCGUCGUAACCCGAUUCGGAGAUCGGAUCCAAAAUAGUUAACUACACAUGCCUAAGGGCACAGCGUAAGUGCCAUUGUCACCAGCCAAACGAAACUCUGGGCCACACACUUGAAAGGUCGCUUCGACCCGAGGCGUAAGAGCCAUUGUCAUCUGCCCAUGCAGGCACGAAAAACCUUGAGGUUCAAUUAAAGCUCGAGUCACAACACGACUCGGAGACUAAACCCAAACUAGUUCAAAUACAAAUGCCCGAGGGUAAAGAAUAAGAACCAUUAUCAUCUGCCCGUGCAGGCACAAGAGAUUGAAGGUCAAGUAAGCUCAAGUCAAAGCUUGACUCAGAGACUAGACCUAAACAGCUGGGCAAGGCACAAAAACCCUAAUGCCUACUCGCGUCAAAGAUCGUACUUAAGAGCCUCCGAGCCUAUCUAAUGAGCUUCGGAUCUGUAGGGCUCCCACCAAAAGCUGAAACAAGCCCGCCUAGUCGAAAACAAUAUAGAAAGAAAUACAGAAGAGAUAAAGAUUCAAGUUUUCUCUUAUUUACAUGCGCGAAAGGUGCGUUCUCCAUCUACAAACAUGCUCUGCGAAUGUCAAAUACAAGAUUUAAAACUGGCGAAAUCUACACUCCGCUCUAGAAGGCUACGGCCUACCAGCCUCAGAUUCGCUCUCCAUGACAUCAGCAAAAAGUGAUCGAGCAUCGCGCUCAUUCGCCCUUGCUCAAGCCAACUCCUCCGAGAGAACAAAGCCCCUAACGCCGAUCUCUUCGAGUACCUCUCUUCAGGAUCUACAGCGAACAUAUUCCUUGAUCCUCUUUCACGAUCGAGGGCCCGCUUCAACUUGCCUUGGGCAUCAGCAGCAUCCUUCAAAUGAAUCGCCAUCUCCUGAUCUACCUUGGUCCGACUUAAUGUUGCUUCAGCUCGGGCAUCGAUUAUCUCAGCCCUGACCUUCGAGAGAUCGAACUCGAGCCUCGCGAUCAUAUCUGCUUUAACUAAAGCAUUGUCACGAGCUAAGCAGAGUUGGGCAUCAAAGGUGGGAACCUUGGCCAAGGCGCCCCUCUCCUCCAAAGCUUGCUUGAGCCCUAAGUUCGCCACAAGCAUUCCUGACCCGGUCAGCUUCGCCCCUAAGGUACUCCAAAGCCUCCAUCUUUUUUUGUAGCUUAUAUAGGUAAAAGGAUUAACCUUAAGGGUCAAAAGGGCGAAAUGCAUAUUAUGGAAGGUUACCUGCUCUAUCAAAUAGCUCUCGUAAUUGGAGCUCUGAUAUGCCUCAUAUCGCCAGUGCAUCAACUCAACCUCCUUCUCCUCGCCAAGGAGCCCAAGGGACUUGCCCUCAUCCAGAGCUUUCCGAAGCCUAUCCCCAUGGCGGAGUAGCUCAAAUCUGAGCCUAUCUAAGGCCUACGAAAUAAAAACUCGAUAAAGAAAGGAAGAUGUGAAAUAAAGAAGGACUGCGUCUAAACUCACCAUGAAGUGAAGCCGGCGAACUUCCUUGAAGGCUGAGCACACUCCUGUUGGUCCAUCCCCUUCAACCCUGGAAGAACCAACCUCGGUCGAAGCAUAUUCACCCGGAGGAACUACCGUUCUAGAACCAAAUGCUCCGGGAACAGCAGGCUCGGGCGAUGUCCUCUCCUCGAAGAUACGGUCUCAUUUAGCCCCAUUAAAAGCUCCAUCGCGCUGCGAAUGUAAGUCCCCUUCGCCGCCAUCGUCCCUUGGCUCAGAGGGCGAUGACUCCUCCCCCUAUCUGGAGGAACGCCUGAUACCUGCAGCGGCAAAGCCAGUAAAAAGUGUAAAACGUCAUAUACGAAGACUAAGGUGGAAGCAGCAUACGCGCAUACCUUGAUAUUUCGCUUCCCAUCUGCCAUGGGACACAGCUCGCCACCUACGCUCGUCACAAGUCGAAUGGGACGCCAACCUCCGGACCUAGCCGGGCAGAUCGGGAACUUCGUUCGGCAUCCAUGAUGUUGCUGCAGGAGAGGAGAAAACACAAUUACUCAACUGGUUUUCUCGAGCAAAUCCGAGAGAGCACGAGACACUCCACUCACACGCAUAAUUCCAUCCCUCGGGAAAUGGCAUGAGCUCCCCUGGGAUAAUCCGAGCCCGAACAAAUCGAUUGAUCCACUUGCCAUACUCAUCUUCCUCAUCAUCAACAACAAAGGGUGUAGACGAAUGGCAUCUCAAGGUUAGCAAGCCUCGAUGAUAAAAGGGUCGGUACAGCCUGACAAGGUGGCUAAGCGUGAAUUCAAGCCCAGCCUUCUCCGCAAAGAAUCUCAUCAUCAGCACCACUCGCCAAAAUGAUGGAUGUAUUUGCGCCAAAGUAACCCGGUACUUCAGGAAGAAGUCAUGCAUGACCCUAUUAUAGGGACCUAAUACGAAAGGGUAUAGGUAUACGUUCAAGAAUCCAUCAGCAGAGUCUGUAAUACUCUCAUUUGGGGAAAGCACCUGCAGCGCUAUCCCCUCGCCCCAUCCGCAGUAUCUCCUCACCAUCUCCAGAUGUUCCUCUCUUAUCAAAGACAUAGUCUUUAGAGAGAACUCCUGCAGAUCCUGAACACUGGUAACGAAACUCUCCCCUCCCUACCGGGCUGGCCCCGAAGUAGAUGCCAUGGCUAUGGUAGAAUUGACAAACUAAAGCAGGGACAUGCGCCAACACUUUUUGCACCUGAAGAAAUGAAGGACCCUAUGCCAAUGCGGAAGGACAGCUAUCUAAAAUAAUGAGAUCUUUUAAAGAAGCAAAAGCCACGACACGAAUAUGUGGGAAACAGCAAUGAUUCGCCUAUCCGGAGUAAUCCCCGGGAGGCAACGGCCUCGGUAUAGAUCCUGGGGUGGUACCCGACCCCAGAGACAUCCAUUGACAAGAAGUUAGGCUUUAAGGAGUCAACUGCGUCGUCUCCAGUUUCGAGGUUGUGCCCGACCUCGAGGAUCUCCGCCAAAAAAGACGUCAGGUUUCGAAAAGCAUUCAGCGCCAUCAUAGGACUCGAGGCGGUAUCUGAUCUCGUGGUUUUCAUUUCUAAAAAGAAAAGUAAGCGCUUAAAGCUCCACCCAUGAAGACUCAAGGAGAGCUCAAGGCAUCGCCUAAAUAUAGGCAACUCCUCAAUGGAAGUCUAUCCACUACGCCUUAAAAGGCCAUCUACAUCAAGUUCAAAGUAGACCCCUAGGUACCAGAAGUUGACCUUCGCUCAGGAUACCACUCUCAAAAACACCAAAACUCAGCGUACUAUGUCCAUGCAACUUGAAGGGCCCGAUGGCCCGAGUCUAUCAUACCAAUUCAGGCUUGGUCUGAGGUAUGGCAAUGGGCUCAGAAAAGAGCCAUGUGAAUCGGCAGAGGAUCGGAAAGAACGCUCGCAUCUGAGUUAAAUAUCAGCGGUUAACAACAAAGGAAAACAUUCAAAGCCUCGAAGAACACAAGAACAUAUAAUAAGUAGGGCAGGCAUCAAGAACAGGAAUCAAGGAAAUAUCUAUAUAUUCAUGUACAACAGCCCUCGAAGGGUCCUUACAUAUAAUUACAAAAGGCUACAGAGGAUCUCUACACAAAAAUGAAGGAACGGAAGGAUGUACAUGUGAUGAAACCCAAGAACUCGGUCCAUCCUCGAAGGUCCAUCUCUGGUAUUAUCAUCCUCGAGCGCCACCCCCUCGAGCCCGUAUCCUCGAGGGCGAUUCCUUCAAUCGUCGUCUCCUCUAGGCUCCUAGAUUAAUCCCGCGGAAGGACCCCACCGAUCGAAAAGAUGAAGAAGAGAAAAAUGAGGGGAUGUAGAGGAGGCAAAGAAAAGAGACAUGGCUCACCAAAGAAGAAGGUUGAAGAUUCCGCGGGCCCUAGACUCAACGGCUGGUAGUGCCACUUUAUCGUUGGGAGAGGAAAAACCCAAGGGAUGAAGUGCCACACUAGGCCUAGGUAGGAGAGUGAGUAGCGGUGCAUAGUCCGAAUGACUGUCUACGAAAGGGGAAAACAGAUUCCCCAUCUAUCAUCAUCUCGGGCCAACGACAACAACAACCAUGGCAGCGACAUGACGGCAUGGUCGUGCUCAACAAAGGGAAGCUCCGGCAAGAGGCCACAACACAGCCUACAGAAGCUCUGCUGAAUGGCCUUGAGGCUACGAGCCCCAAACAUGACGUUCAAGGAUAAAGGAAGAUGGUAAGAAGAAAUAGGCAAAUGAUCUAAUGAAGGAACUUGGAUAUAAAAACAACCCCAAAGGGCCCCCAUUUAUAGGGGGUAAUGACACGGUCAUCGAGGCUUUGGAAGAUUGACCGGAGGACGCAACUACUGCAUUCUUGAAGAGAUGAAUCGAUAGCAGUAACAUUCCUCUUGGAGAAUGGGAAUCGGCAGGGCAUUAAAUGAUGUCAAAUACACAAGUCCAUGGGAUACCCCGGUUGUCGCAAAAGCUCGCGCCACAGGUUGCAUCAUUGGUAUGGCAUCACCGUGAGAAGCUUGUGGAAUUCCGUGUCAGAAUCAUUUCCCAUCGCUUCAUUCUGGGAAACGCGAAGACUAUCUGUAUGCGGCGAAAUCAAAAGAUGUGAUUUCUCGCUAUCAAGCCACUUCGGAAGGAUACCUCGAGACCCCAAGGACGUGGAGUUGUGACUGAGUCCCCUCCUCGGGACUCGUCAAGGCCCGACUCAAAGAAGACGAAGAUCGAGGCUAGAGCAAAGGGGGAAACUCCCAAGGCACGUGGCUAAAUCUGGCAGAGCCAAUCUAUCCAGAGCCUAUGUCGAAGCAUCACGUCUAGCCAUCUCAUCCCCAUACUUUACAAUUAAUGCAUGUUGUACUAUAAUCGGGUUCCUCUCCGGUAUAAAGGGAACCCAGACUACUUUGUAAAGGGCUGAUGUUGCUCCACUUACUCUCCACAAGAUCAAUAAUAUCUCUCUCUCUCUUUCUUCUCUCUAACUUGCUUGUUCUUACUAGCUCGAGGCCACUCUAAGCAUCCAUUAAUUUCUUACUUGUUCUUCAUUUAUUGCUUGGCAUUGGUAUAAAGAACCUUGCUUGAUCAUAUCUUGACUAUUAUGCCAUUCCUGACUGCCCCCGAUAGCUUGAGCUCGAGCCAAAUAUCGACCACAAGGCUUCUUCAUCGGCCAGUCCGAGGCUCGGGGGGCAAGCCCCUCGGUUUGAUUACUGCCCCGUUUUAGCUUGUAUCUCUUCGUUAAACUUCAUCUUCUUAGCAUCAACUGCUCUAAACAACUAGCAUAAAAAUAUAUCACGUAUUUUUAGAAUCCUAUUAGUCGGCCUGUCAGAUUUGUCAUUUGUUGUGACUUUUUUUCCAUACCAAGUAAGACCUCGCCUUGGACAAAUCGUGUACUCGGGUGUUUUCCCACAAAUGUUGGCAUUCGCUCCAAAUUUAGUGAACCACUUCUUUCGGAAAUUGAGCAUCGGAGCGGAUUUCAAUCAUAUUAAUACUAAGGUCUUCAUCCUUGGGAACUGUUUGGAAUCUUCCAAGUUGUCUCAAAAUUCGGUACGGGGCAUAGGGCUAGAUGCUUCGGAGACCCAUUAGAAGGAAGUAAGGACUAGUGGCAAGAAUAUAAAUAACCGCAUCAACAGGAAGCCAACCCAAUGUCCACUCUAUCUGAUCUACAGUUAUAGAACAAAGGUGGGUGAUCCAAUCUUUGACCCCUUCUGGCAUUUCAAAUCCUAUCACUCGUGUACCGAACUCCUCGAUGCAGUUUCUUCUUGUAGAACCGUAAUUCACAUAUCGGGGACGGUGAAAGGGGUGCUCGAUCAUCCACAUGUGCAAUAACAUAUUGCACCCCUUGAAAAACUAGACUUCGGUCUUACAGGAUGUAAGGGCUCGGAAUAUAUCUGAUACGAUCAUAGGUGCGAGGGUGCUCUUGGCCUGAGUAGUCAAAACAUGGACAACUCCGGAUACACACAAACCAAUAUGUCCAUCCUCCCUUAGAAACACCGAAACGCCUAAAAAUGCCACCAUGAAGGCAAAGCAUCUAUGCGUCUCCCACUUUGACCAGUUUCCUUUACUAUAGAGUCCAUUUUCUGGGUCUUCGAAUCCCCUUAAGUGCUCGUACUACUGGUAUAGAAAGUGAAAAGUGGAAGCUCCUCCUGCUAGACUUUCUAUCUUGAUCUGUCUUUUUAUUUUCAGUAGGUCUAGAAACUUGUGGGGAGUAACAGUCCUUGGAGAUACCAGAUACUUGUGUCUUAAUCCCUCUGUACUCUUGGAAUAACCCGGCAUUUCUUCCAAAGUAGGUGUAAGCUCAAAAUCUGAGAAGUGCAAAACAUUGUGAGCGGGGUCCUAGUAUGUCACCAGUGCCUCUAUCAGAUCACUUCUAGGUUGAAUUUUUAAUAGUCCAGGUGAGUGCCCCCAGGUAUUGAUUGACCCCGUCUCAUCAUUGUUUUCCCAAAUCCUCCCACCACAUGUGGAGUGCUAGUGGUAUCUGAUCCAUAACCUUCACCGGUAAAUUCUGAACAGUGCUCAUUCUACACAUUUUUAAAUUAGGGUGACUAGGUUAAAACAUGUGAGUUUUGUUUAAAAACUGACCAUGAAAAGAUUGUUUUUGUAAAAUUCAACUGAAAAAACAAAUCACAUCUACUUUUGCAAAUAUGGCCCUUCAGCACUUCGGAAAGGGAAGAUUUUAGAGUUGUGCUUACUAAGUGGCCAAAAAUUUGAAAAAGGACCAUAGGUGGCUAUUCUUGCAAAAACGGUCUUCCGGCAUCCCGUCGGGACAUUUCUGACUAUUUGGACAAAAACGACAUCACCUAACUUUACUUAUGAUAAAAUGACAACAUAUUCAUAUUUUUGGUUAUUUUUGCAAAAGCGGGGCUGGAACCGAUGUAGGUUGCCUACGUAUCUCACAUCCGAUGAGAAUCAAACCCGCGUAGUUCAGUAAAUUUUGAUGCAACUAAAAAAAUAUGACUUAUUUUGACAUGAUUUUUUCUUUUUCUCUUUUUUCAAAAUUUUGGCAGAAUUUCGGGAUAUUUUGAAAACUAGGAUUUUCAUAAGCAGGUGAUUUUUCUCUCCUACCUCACUCUUGAUUUUUCUUGAUUUUCUUUCUUUAUUCUAGAAGUCGGUCAGCAUAGAAGUCCAAACAAAUAAAUGUACAAAUAGCACGUAAAAUGUAUCAGGAUUGUCUUUUAAAUUGGAUACACUUGUCCUAGACAGACCCAACCCCAGUGUUGAGUCCCCAAAGUCAAAUGCACGUGAUACAAACAAGCGUACCUACUAGGGAUCCAGCAUAAGGUUAUGUCAUUCAAGGUUUGAAACCUGGGGUAUAUUGUUCUAGACCUGGCUUACCCGAGCGGACAACUUGAGUCGAGGGGGGCAACGUACCGGGAACCAAAAGGCCAUCUGGCUUUGUAACUGAUCCGAUCCUCGUUCUAAAUUAGAGUAUGACACUAAGAGAAAAGAAGUCAUGCCAGCGUGCACUUCCUAGAAGAUUUAGAAGACUCACCUAGAAGAAGGGUUUCGUAACAGUUUUAUAAACAGUUCAAGCAAUAUCAAAGCGGUAAGAAGCGGCAUUUAGCACAUUAGGCUCAAACACGUAAAAAAUCAGAAAAACCCAAAAGCCAACUAUAAUAAUUAUUCUAAGCUCGAAUUCUGAACCCAGAACUAGAGAUUCUGGGUUCGGUCCCCAGCAUAGUUGCCAGAGAUGUCACACCUCCUUUUUCCCCAGGGAUAGGGAGUUUUUCCAAUUAAAGUGAUAUUAUUUGAAAUGGGAUUAUUAUUUAAUUUAGAGUCACCAUUUGGAAUAAUUUAUAGUGUCUCAAGUCACCGGUUUAUUUUAAAUUCCUAAUUGAGGAAAUUUGACUUUGUUAUAUGGUCCGCGAAACACAAAAGACUGGAUAAAGAAUUCUAUUAACCGAGAGAAGGUGCGAGGCACUCCCGAGUUCUGUGAUUUUAGCACAGUCACUAAACAAUUAAUAAUUGGUCUAAUUAUCUAAUUUAUUAUAUGUUUAAAACUUAUUGUACAUGUUUUACUUUUUAACCGCUUUUAAUAUUUAAAGAAUUUAUUUAACUAAGUCGCGAUAUUGCGUACUCAUUUUUUGUACACAUUGCGAAUCGCGUCAUAUGAAACACACACGUGAUUUACAACAUGUUUAUUAUUAUUAUUAUUUGAAGUUAUGAUCGAGUCACGUGAAACGCACACUCGAAUUAGGGAUUAUGCAUCAUGAUUAUGGCAUGAAAACCGCAUCCAUAGUCACGAUGAUUUAUUUAAACGCGCCUAAUGCAAGCUACGAUAUUCGAAUUAACAACUUGCAUUUGGGAUUGUCAUGAAGUCUCGAAAUAUGGAAUUUAUUUGGGGAAAAUAUGCACAUUAGUAAUUUGCUUAAACUAAUCUGUAAAGUAUUUUAGUCUUUUUUUUUUAAAAAAAAAAAACAAAUUUUAACUACAAUGAUGAUUCUGAUGACAUUAGCAUAAACUUGAUUCCAGUGAGAUGAUAAAUAUAGUCUAAGACGAUAAAGAACUCAAAUCAAUUCUAAAUCUAAUCACUUUGCAACUUGGCUAACCAACAAAAAAUCAUGGAAAAGGGUGGGUCUCGGUCCCAACAUUUUUCAUACAACGAGGCCUUGAUAAAUUAUUCACAUUAGGGUCCAAAAUCUCCAUUCACCAUAAGGGAACGGAAACUAGGCCUAUUGGAGCAUCAGGCCCAGUCAAUUUGAGCCAACAAAACAACUUAUAACUUUGAGAAUCAGGAUAUCUAAUCAAUUCACAACAUUAUCAAAUUAAACCAACAUUAUGCUAAAUAAUAAUUAAUCAGAAUAUCACAAGAAUUUCAGUUUGAACAAAUUUGAAAUACAUUAAUGAGUCAUUCUAUCAACUACAACCAUUAUUUACAAACUUGCAUCAAAAAUAAAAAUUUUAAACGAACUCCUAUACUAUUUCUUCCAGCACUGGAUAUGAGCAGACUUUAGAAUCGCAUGUUCAAGCUCCAUAACUCAUGACUUUGUGAUCCAGAAAUCUCACAGAGAUGGAUCUGACCAACUGGUCAGAUUCAUCAUUUAGUCAUUCUAAACUUUCCUUCAAGUGUGAAUCACCAUUAAUAUUGAAAAUUUUAAAAAACAGCAAAGAUUCAGUCAACUUAGACUUAAUUAGGACAUACGGGUUACUUAUCACAACAAAGAAGUUCAAAAUGUGAAAUUCAUUUAUGAAACAAUGAAAGUAUUACGGAUACUCUUAGUCUUACUUCAUACAUUUGAAAAGAGCAGGCAGAAUUUCAAAUGCUAAAACCACACUUUACAAACACAAUCCAACCAGAUGUUAAUAACAGAAAUCUAAUAAAGAAUGAACUUGUAAUGACCCGAUUGAUCAUUUUGAGAUCUAGUGCGUAACUCGGUGGUUUGAGGCCUUGAGUAGCUUCACUUCAGGUAUUAUGACUUGUAUGCAUGGUCGGAAUUGAAUUUCGGGAAGGUCGAGAUUGAUUUGGAAAAGAAAUUCUAAUUUCAGAAGCUUUAAGUUGGAGGAAUUGACUAAGGUUUGAUUUUGAGUAAACUACUUCGGAAUUAGGAUUUAAAGGUUCCAACAGGUUUGUAUGAAAUUUUGGACUUGGGCGUAUAUCCGGAUUGGGUUUUGGAUGACCCGGGAGCGUUUCGACGCCUAUUGUGAAAAGUCGGCAUUUUGGAAGAAUUUCAUAAAUUUGGGUUGAAGUGUAUUUCAAUGUUAUCGAUGUCCGUUUGAGAUUCCGAGUCUGGGAAUAGCUCUGCAUGGUGAUUCUGAUCUUAGGAGCGCGUCCAAGAGUGGAUUUGGAGGUUCGUAGAUCAUUUCAUGGUCAUUUGGCGAAAGUUAGAAAUUUGAAGGUUUUUUUAAAAGUUUGAUCGGGAGUGGACUUUUUGAUAUCGGAGUCGAAUUCCGAUUUUGGAAGUUGGAGUAGGUCUGUAAUGUCAAAUGUGACUUGUGUGCAAAAUUUGAGGUCAGUCAGACGUGACUUAAUAGGUUUCGGCAUCAUAUGUAGAAGUUUGAAGUUUUAAAGUUCAUUAAGCUUGAUUUGGAGUGCGAUUCAUGGUUUUGACAUUAUUUCAUGUGAUUUAAGGCCUCAAGCAAGUUUGUUUUAUGUUUUUAGACUUGUGUGGGUGUUAGGUUGGGAGCCUCGGUGCUCGGGUGAGUUUCGGAUUAGCUUCGGAAUGUUUUUGUUAAGAAUUUUGAGUGUUGGUUCUGAUUUCAUCCCAUUUGCGAGGUAGUCCUCGCAUUUGCGAACCUGGGCUGCUGGGGAAUGGGUCGCAUUUGUGAAAAUAUUAUUGCCUCCCCCCCCCCCCCCCCCCCCCGCAAACGCGACACCUGCGACUGGAGCAAGGGCUUUUAUUCCGGAACUUAGCUAAUUUUUUUCAUUUCCCACUUGGACUUAGGUGAUUUUUUAGAGCAUUUUGAGAGGGGUUCCACCAACAUCAAGAAGUAAGUGAUCCCUAUUAGUUUGUUAGCUAAAUAUACGAAUCAUAAGUAGAUUUAACAUGGAAAAUGGUGGGAUUUAUGGAGUUUUUGAAGAAAAAACUAGAAAUUAAUAUUUUUGAAUUUACCACGAAAUUAGACAUGGAAUUUGGAAUAAAUUAUAUAUUUGAGUUCGUGGUGUUAUGGGUAAAGUUUACCUUCAAAAAAUUUUGAAAUCCUAGCAUGUGGGCCCGAGGGUGAUUUUUAUUGACUUUUCGAGCGGAGUUGGAAAUUAUUGUAAAUUGGAUUAUAAUGAGUAUUAGAGUAUAUAUUUAUGGAUUUACACAUUUAUUGACUAGUUUUGGUGCGUUGGUCAUUGGUUUGAGUUGUUUGAAAGGCUUGGGAGUCGGCUAUAUAACUUCGGAGUGAGAUAACUCGCUCUUCUAACCUUGUAAGAGAGAAUUAACAUCAUAGGUGAAUUUAAUUCAUAUGUGCUCUUAUUUACGGGGCUACAUACGUACGAGGUGAUGAGAGUCCGUACAUAGCUAUUAAUUAUGCCUAUGUCGGGGUAGUUUUAGGUUUACACCAUGCCAUAUUGGUACCAUUGUUUGAUUAUGUUCAUUAUUUGUCAUGGAAAGAAUUGAGGUUGAGUAUGCUUAUUGAUUGCCUUUAAAAGAGUUGAAAUUGAGGAUUUUGAGAUUUGAAAGUUUUCAUUUAAAUUUCGUAUUUUUGAAAAGAAUUGAGGAAUAUUAUAAUAACUUGAGAAAUCUAUGUUCAACCGCAUCGCAAAUAUAUUCCGCAGGGGGGUUGUAACAACCCGACCGGUCGUUUUGAGCUUUUUCACUUUGCUCGCAAGUUCUCGGGCAUGGCUAGCCCCGUGUGAUGUAUUAUGACUUAUGUAAAUCGUCGGUUUUGAAUUUUAGGGUGAUCGGAAUGAAUUUUGAAGAACAAUUCUCAAUUUGAAGCUUAAAAUUUGAAAGGUUUGACAAAGAUUUGACUUGUUAGUAGAUGGUUUGAAGCUUAAAAUUUGAAAGGUUUGACAAAGAUUUGACUUGUUAGUAGAUGACCUGGGAUUGGAAUUUCUAUGAUUUAGUUAGCUCUAUUAGGUGAUUUGGAACUUAGGAGCGCAUCGAAAUGUGUUUUGGAGGUCCGGAGUAGAUUUAGGCUUGAAUUGGCGAAAUUGGAAUUUUGGCGUUUUCCGGUUGAUAGAUGAGAUUUUAAUAUAAGGGUCGGAAUAAAAUUCCGGAAGUUGCAGUAGUUCCGUUGUGUCAUCCGGGAUGUGUGUGCAAAAUUUCAGGUCAUUCGGACGUGGUUUGGUAGACCUUUUGAUCAAAAGCGUAAUUUAGAAGAUUUUGUAAUUCUUAGGCUUGAAUCUUAUGUGAAUUUGGUGUUUUGAUGUUGUUUUGAGCGUUCCAAAGAUUAUAACAAGUUUGAAUGAAGUUAUGGGAUAUGUUGGCAUUUUGGUUGAGGUCCCGGGGGCCUCGGAUGAGUUUCGGAUAGUCAAUCGGACCAUUUCAUGUUGUGAAAAAAAUUGCAGAAAACUGUUGUUGGGUGUUGCAGAGAAUUUGCCUACGCGUUCGCGAAGGGUUAGCAGGUGAGGUUGAGGAUUUAGCCUUCGUGUUCGCGAGGGAGGUUCCGCGUUCGCGAAGCGCUGGGGUCCUGUGAAUCGCGUUCGCGAGGUAGUGGUCGCGUUCGCGUAAGAGUGAAAUGUGGUCAACGCCGGUUUGUGCUUCGCGAACGCGAGGCUUUGACCGCGUUCGCGAAGAAGGUUUUUAAUGCCUAGGCAGAAUGUUUAAAUAGCCAUUGUUCGCGAUUUUGGGGCUAUGUUUUACCAUUUUUGGGCGAUUUUGGAGCUUUUUGAGAGGAUUUGAAGAGGGAUUCAAGAGAUAACACCUGGAGGUAAGAUUUUUGAACUCAAUACUCGAUCCUAUGUUGAUUCUUACUUGUUUAAACAUGAAAUAUGUGGAAAUUAAAGCCUAAAAUUGGAGAAUUAGGGCUUGAAUUUGGAGAAUGUAAAUUGGAAAUUUGAGGGGGCAUUUGAGGUCCGAUUUUGAUGUUCUUGGUAUGUAUAGACUCAUGGGAGGAUGAGGAUUCUAUUGAUGUAAUUUUUAUCAGAUUUCGAGAUGUGGGCCCCGGGCCGGGUUUGAGCAAUUCCGAGAUUUUGAUGUAAAUUGGAGAUUUUCAAGUGGGCUUUGUUUUCUUAGCAUAUUUUAAUGGUCAUGUACUGAUUUUGGUUAGAUUUGGAGCAUCUGGAGGUCGAUUUGAGAGGGCAAAGGCAUCACGGGCUAGAGUUUGGACCGGAUCGAGGUGAGUAAUGAUUGUAAAUAUUGUCCCGAGGGUAUGAAACCCCGAAUUACACAUCCUUGUGCUAUAUUGAGGUGACGUACACGCUAGAUGACGAGCAUGGGGGUCGUGCAUCGUUGGGGAUUGUGACUUAGUCCAUCCCGUAUGACUGUUUCACCACAUAUUUAAUUGAAAAUUAUUUGUUAUCAUCAUGUUUUGGGUUGAAUGUCGUAUUUGGGCCUCGCACCAACUAUUUGAACCAUUAAGGGAUUUUUACUGAUAUUUCCUCACUUUUUUGACUUUAUACUUGUACUCGGUCAUGCUAUAUCCUAUUAUUUUCUUAACUCAACCAUGUUUACUCUGUUUUAAUACAUUAAAUGAUAUUUUAAAUGAUAAUUUGGGUUGACCGUCAUGUUUUACUAUUGCCCGAGAGGCUUAUGAGAUUUUGAGUGAGUAAGGUCGAGGGCCUGUGUUGUGAGGAUACACUGAUUCAUGAGUUUGAGGCCGAGGGUCUGAGAUUGUAGCCACAAUGUGGCUUGUUGAUAUGAGGCCGAGAGCCUAUUGAGUAUGCCACGAGAUGGCUUGAUAUUGCGCUUGGGACAUAAGGGGCCCCUCCAGGAGUCUGCACACCCCCAGUGAGUGCGGGUACCCAUGGUGAUGUGAGAUAUAGCCCGAGGGGCUGGUGUUGUUCCAUGUUGUUUCCUGAGGGGCUUUUUCUAUUGGUAUUGUGCCCGAGGGGCGGAUUUUUUGUGCUUAUCUGUUCUAGCUACUUUUCGUUUACUUGUUUAACUAUGAAAAAGGUAUUUUAAAGAAGUUUAAACUGAGCUAAGAUGUUUUAAGAGAUUUCACUACUUCAUUACUUUCUUACUGGUUUUAUACUACUUUUAUAUAGCAUGUUGAUGUGCUUUUACGUGAUUUCUUAUCACUCAGUCUUAAUUUAUUGUUAUUACUCACUGAGUCGGAGUACUCACAUUACUCCCUACACCUUGUGUGCAGAUUCAGGUAUUUCUGAACCCGGUAGCAGGUGUUAGUUGCUUAGAGGCAGAGUCAUCAGAGUUUAGCAAGGUAGUUGCCCGGUGUUUGCAGCACUGCUUUUCUCCCUCUUGAUUUCAUUAGACUGUAUUUAGUGCAUCUUUCAGACUUUCCGUGUAUAUAGACCUUAAUAGAUGCUCGUAACUUAUGACACCCCGAUGUCGGGCUGUAUCUAUUUCCGCACUAUUCAUUUAGACUUACAUUAUGAAAUAUCUGAUUAAUUAAAAAGGCUUAAAUUGACUUAUUAAAAUUGUUGAAAUGAAUUUGGGAAUUGUGCAUGCUGGCCUUAUCUUCAUGGAGGCGUUAUCAGGACCUGGUCCGGUUUGGGGUUGUGACAGGGGUAAAUUUUCAUUACUCUCAUGGGAGCGGGCCAUUUGCCUCGGCAUGUUAAUAGAUGCAUCUAUGGUUCAUGUUGUUGGACCCUCGGGAGUGCACAGCUUAUAUUUAUAUGUUGGAUCGGGUCGUACGACCUCGGCAUGACUUGCGCGUGAUAAUUCUUUGGAAAUAAUAAUAAUUGACAUUGUUCCAUUGGCUUUAGAUACAAAUUGUUAAAUGAUGAAAAUAAAUUUGGAAAUUUCUAUUAGUAAAAGGAUUGUUUAUUAUUUUCGGUUAUUGAGUUUCUAGUUAUAUUAUGCAAUCCAUGCUUAAUUAUAACAUCGGUAUUUUAUUGUUAGCCUAUAGUAGGUGUCAGAGUCGACACUUCGUUACUACUCCUUCUAGGAUAGACGGGAUACUUACUAGGUACGCGUUAAUUUACGUACUCAUACUACACUUGCUACAUAUGUUUGUGAAGGUACAUAUAUGUCUCGUGGCCUUAUGGGCGCAGAGGUGUGGUUAAUGCGGGGCUUAAGUGAGCUGCAUUUCAUGUUAUGAUCCGCAGUCAGCAGAGUCUCCUUCAGAGUUAUUUAUAUUUUUCCUGUCUAAUUUGUAUUCCGGGCAGAUGCUGUAUUUUAUUUUACUCCUUAGUUGAUACUCAUGUACUUGUGACGCCGGGUUUUGGGUGUGAUUAUAGGUUGUUCAAUACUGUAGUUGUGAAAAUAUUAACACCUAGUCUAUAAAUCUUGAUCUCUUACUAUUUAAUUGAAGGAAAAAUUUUGAUUUCAAAAAUACUAAAAUGAGUAAUCAAGUUAAUCAAUUAUCGUUUGCUUGCCCGACAACGGUGUUAGGCGCCAUCACGACCUUUGAUGGAUUUGGGUCGCGACAACAUGGUAUCAGAGCCAGGUUCACUUAGGUCUCACGAGUCAGGAGCGAGGCUAGUAGAGUCUUGCGGAUCGGUACGGAGACAUCUGUACUUAUCUUCGAGAGGCUAUAGGAUUGUUAGGAGCACUUUCCUUCUUGAUUCCUCAUCGUGCGAUUUGAUUACUUUGAGGCUUAUGCCUUUAUUUCUUCUUAUUCAGUCUUAUGCGACGUGGAGCACUGGUUAUCAAUUAGGAAUCGAGGAAUUGUAAUAAUACUAAAGAUGUGGUGCAGGAUAUUUCUCCCUGCAUAAUUGUUUGGCUAUUGUCGUUGCCUUGCGGAAGGAUGCUCUGUCAUUCUAGCUUAGUAUAAGUACUGCCUAUGGUUUUGGUAUUUGGGCAUUGAUUGUUAUGAUGAUUCAUGUGUUGCUAUCGCAUAGUGAUGUUGUAAUGGUCGGGUGCUUAUUUAUGGAUCGCGGCAAUAAAUGACUUGAUAGAAGGAUUUUUUAGUUCGCGACUUAGAGGUUCUGCAAUUAGUUCCAGGGGAGAAAAGGCAAUCGGACUAAGAAUGUUCAGGUUUGGGUCGAUAGCGUGAUGAAACUUGGUAUUUUCGAGCACGGUGGAAUUUUCAUAUGUGAUGUAGCAUCGUUGUCCUUGUUGGAUGUGUUAAGUUUGCUGGUAUUAUGGUGUUUUUCAAUUCUCCUUUGGGGCAAGGUUGAAAUGGUGCCAAGGAAGCAGCUGUUAAAGAUCAUGGUGUGCAGUGGUUUAGGGUCGAAUCGGUGUUCCUAGUGUUAAUGGCUCGAGAAGGAUGAUCUUCGGAGAGGUUUAGAGUUGGUAGCGAUCUAUUGAUUCAAGUGCUAAGGGGAUGGAUUUUUAUUUAAGUCAAAUAUUGGGCAGCGAAGGACGAGGAAGGGCAUGUAGGAGGUGUCUUGCGGGGGUUAAAUUUCUAGAAGGCCAAGUGUGAGGAGCAGAAGUCGAGUAGUUGCUCAAAUGAGAGGGUUUGACCAAAGUGGGAGAGUGGCAGAGUAGCACAUGGGUUUUGUGCUAGGAUAGCUACAAGCCUUGAGGAAAGUUUAGAGUUUAUUUGGGAUUUCAUGGUGGGCAGUGACUAGGCCUACGGACUUAAUUUGGAAUAUUGGAUACUAUACUGAGGAAGAUUGGAUACAACGAAAAAAAGUUGCUCGAUAUGAAGAGGGAUGCAACAUGACUUUGGAUUGGAAUGUGUCGUUGCACCUUUAGUUGAUGUCAAUAGGGAGUGAACAAACUUGUACAGCUAGUGAAUAAGCACAGGCUCAGGAUGGUUUAUGGGUUUCAUAGUAAUUGCACUCAAUGCAGCGUCAUUGGAAGGUGUCGGCAUGGAAUUUCCAUAGGUGAGUUAUCUCCUGUGAGCAGGUUAGCGGUUGUGUGGUGUUGACGAAGCUUCUACAAAGCAUUUUACUGGCUAUCCGGUAAGAGGUUGAAUAUGUAAAUGUAGCUAGUGAUUCAGAAUGUUCAUAAAAUGUUAACAAAAGGAUUUUAAGGAAUUUGGCGGGUUUAUUGUGCAAGAUCAUGUCAAUAGGGGAUAAGGAAUCUUGGUGGGUUCCAGGGUUAUGUAAUAAGUAGCUUCAAGCUAAGUGGGAGAGUCCCAUCGCCUACGAUUGGAUCGCAUGGUUGUCUACUUGUGAGGUUUAUGGUUAUCGGCAUAUUGGUGGGUUAUUACAACUAAGGAAAGAAAACAUCAUUGUAAUUUGAGCAAAGGAUUUGGGGAAUGUGUGAUAUAUUUGGCCUUAUCGAUUCAUGUUCAAGUUUUGGGAAGACUCGGAGUUUAUACUCCGUGUGGAUCUGAUGUACAGGGGAAGGAAUUCAACUGAUUGCUUCCUUGAGAGGGUGUUCAUGUGCUAGGAGAGCCUUGGAGUUGAUUAUAUUCGGUACCAAGUUGGAGUGGGUGACUCUCAAAAAUGGUCCUAGCGGGUUCAAAAAGUAAAGUGCAGUGCCUAAGGAUUUUGAGUAUAUAGUAAGGUUAAGUAUCGAGCUUUUGCAGCGAAAUAUGAAAGGGACUUGGAGUGUUCUAUGUUAUCUUCGGUCUGUGGUGCAGCAUUUGAGGAAUGGGGGAAAAUAACUUCGGAUUCAUAGAGGAAUUAUCAGAAUGGGUGUACCAGUUAAAGAUGCGGAUAUGCGCACAAGGAGGGUAUGAGAUGGUUCGUGGGUUUGGAGACAACAUGGUCUCGUGGAAUGAGGUCACUCGGGAUGAGUGUGGAUUUGGGUUCGUUAUAUUUUGAAUGGAGCUAUUAUUAUUCCUAAGGCAAGUCUAGAGUAAAUUAGAAGAAGCCGGAUCAAUUAGCAAUAGUUGAAUUGGCAUAAUGGUGGCAAUGAUCAGUUCUUUCGGUGUGUUAAGUUAUACAUGUGAUUUGUGGCGGUUCCUGCGAGGCUCGACGGCCACCGUAAUUGAUUUUAUUUGGAGACAUUUGAGUAUUAUGACCUGUUAUGUGUAGAUGGAUUCCAGAAGGAUUAUGGUGGUUUAGACAACUACUUGCGGUUGUAUUUUCUGCCGUUAUGGGAAUUCAGUCGCAUGUUGCAAUGGUUCUCCUGAAAUGAGUUAAGUGAAAGGUUGCUAUAUGAUAGAGUGUUUAUUCUAUUAGUGGAUCAGGAGUUAUGAUGGAAUUCUUGUACUCCCACGUAUUGGUAUGUUGGGUGUAGUGAGUGGCAUGAGAAUCGGAAGUUGAGGAUCAAGGUUGUAGUUUGGUAUCGACAAGAAUGUCAAGGGCUCGGAUGAUCAGGGAAGAAUUCAGAUGCUUAGAGUAAGCUGGUAUUGUCUUUAGCAUCACCUGAGAUCGGUGUCCUGUGUAAAAGGCUUUGUGUACUUAUUAGAGGAUUCUCGAUUUGCCAUACAACAUUGUGUGGCCAGUGGCAUGGAUGUGCAGACUUGGUUACCUGGUGUGGAAGGUCACGGGAGCGUAUCCCACAGAAAGAUUGUAUAAGUGUGACAUAUAGUCACUUUAUUGAUUAAAGAUUGAAACCAAGUAUGGAGAUUAUGGUACUAUUGCUAAUGUGAGAAUUUAUGCCUGAAGAGCGCUCAGUUCAUUUGGUUGUGGACUGUGGAAGUUUGUUCCGGAUUUGGAGGUUGUUCUUUUAUGUCAUGGGAAAAAGGGGUUAUUGUGGAUCCUUGAAAGGUUAUUAGCCUAGUGCAGUACAAUCAGAAUCGGCUUGAGGUCUGUGGGUGGAUCUAGAGGUGAAUGUGGGCUCUAUAUCAGGCCGGAUGUGUUCAUUUCAGCAUAGCGUUGUUUACACAGGAGUCUUCGGAACUUAGAUGUUAUUUCUGUCGUCAGCUAUUCCAUGUAAUACUUUAUUGUGCCAUGCGGGUUGGGAGAGGGCCUGAUUAUUUGCACAUGUGUUGGGGUCCCGUAUAGCUUGCGGUGUUAUAUGAGCAGGAUGGAUCUUGAGAUGCAGGUCAUUUAUUACACCUUAGUCGUGCUUGAGUUUUGCAGUGUAUGGCGCUAUCUGUCUCCCCCAAUGAUGGUAUUAUUCACUUGGCGUGCUUCUGGUCGACAUUCUGGUAUUUCCCAGGUAUGAGCACUCUAGCUCGGUAAGUAUUUCCUUAUAGAUUGUUAUGUGUAGAUCGGGUGGCACGCCGCCACGGGUAUGUUGGUUGGACCCAGUGGCACGCCGCCAGGGGUAUCAUGAUUGGACCGGGUUGCACACCGCAACAGUAUCAUGUGUGGAUCGGGUUGCACGCCGCAACAGUGUGAUGUUGAGUACAAUUCCCCAUAUCUAUUCUUGUGUAUUUUGUUUCUCAUUUUUUGCCUAUAUCCGGGUAGUUUUAGGUUUACACCAUGCCUUGUUGAUACUGUUAUUUGAUUAUGUUUAUUAUUUGUCUUGGAAAGAAUUGAGGUUGAGUAUGCUUGCUAAUUGCCUUGAAAAGAGUUGAAAUUGAGAAUUUCGAGAUUUGAAAGUUUUCAUUUGAAUUUUGUAUUUUUGAAAAGAAUUGAGGAAAAUUAUAAUAAGUUGAGAAAUCUAUGUUCAACCGCGUGUCGCGCCCUGUUUUCUCGCGAAAGCGGGUUUCGACGUCAUGAAAAAUCUUUUUUGGGGGGGGGGAGAUAGGGUGUUAAAAGAAGAAGAGUCGCCACCUAGUAUUUUUUUAAGGUGCGUUAGGAAACCUAUUUGCAAAUAACUAUGUUUGACUAGUCAACGCCACCAAAGAUCGGGUAAGGGCUCAAAUUACCUCAAAGAGAAGGUGUUAGGCACUCCUCGAGGUCCACAACUGCGGGUCCCGGCCAAACUUAAGACUAUGUGGAUUAUAAUUAGGCAAGAUAAACAAAGAGAGUAUGGGUCAAAUGAAUCUAUUAUAACAUGAGAGAAAUAAGGAUUACAAGGAUACAACUAUUAAGUCUAUGUUAAAUGACUAAUGUGUAAAGAAAAGAGGGGGGUCCUAAGUUUUUUAGCCUAAAGGAUCACCCUGUGCAACAUAAAUAAUACUUCGCAACUCCCUUGAGGUAGGAAAUUAUUCAUAUUAUUCAGCGGGCACAGACUAUUAUCUCCUGCUACCCGAUUACUAUGUUAAAGUUGUUUACCUAAAAGCGCUCUAAUUCAAUUCUAAGUCGUGCUCUAUGCGUACACUACCCGCCCCAUACCUAGGGUCCAGGAGGCAUUGGACCUCUAUUUAGGGCGGUUCUAGACUUAACUUAGGUUGCUCAAAAUAAUAAAACUAGGCGACAUACAAAAUAAGUUGGACUUCAAAUAUGGGCAAUUAAGGGCUCAAGUUAGCCUCCACACUUAGACAAUAAAUUCACGCAAAACAGGUUUUCAUGUUAGGCAGUUUCAGAAUUAAAAUCCUUAAGCCAUAUACGCGUGAUUUCUAGGUGACCUUGGAUUCAAACGCGCAUAUAUAACAUUAUUUCCUUUAGUGGCUUAGACGAGGAGGCAGUAGACCAUCUGCUGUUAACGCCGGUUUUAGAUACCAGUUUUAGAAGAGUGAUAUUGUCCUAUAGACAUGAUAUCUAAUAGUGGCAUAGUUAAACAAAUGAGAAUAGUUCUGGAAACCCAGCCUUGACAAGUAGAUAAACAAUAUUAAGCGAAUGACAGUAUCCUAUAGGUAGGAUCUCUAGCAAUUGACAAUCGAGCCUUGAUUUUAUAACACUUUACCUCUAUGAGCAGGUUACCUAGGCGGAGCAAUAACAAUAAUAGUAGCUAAUUGAUUAAUUAAGGUCCUAUAGACAUGAUUUCUAGGUGAAAAUCAAUAGAACAUAAGCUAGUGGGAUCUUAUAGGUAUGGUAUUUAAUGAAUAUGAAGCAGUUAUGCGGAUUGAGAGAAUGUUUAUUUCUUAUAGGUAUGUUGUCUAGUAACACAUAGCAGUAGAAUAAAAUAGAGUGUUUACACCCGUGCUUCGAUGAUAGACAAGUUAUGUGUGUGUGUGUGAGUUUCCUAAAGGCAUGGUUUCUACCAGUGGAAGCAAGUCAGGUAAAUCACAUGAACCCUAUGGGCAUGUUUUCUACCCUUGCAUGCAAAUAGUAGAUUAUACUCGUUCCCCAAAUUUCACUAACACCCCCAAUUAUUUAUUACAAAGUUAUUACAGACCCAAUGAUGAAUGUAGUUACAAAAUUAUAAAAGCACUAAUAGUAGGCCCGCAGCAGGCCCAAAAGGAAAUACCCAGCAUUGCCUGGGCCUUCAACAACUCUCAUAGCAUACCCAGAUUUCCAACAUGGAACUAUAUUCAUCAGCACAGCCCGGAAAUCAUAGAGGAAUUCAAGCCAAACCAAACAGCAAUAGAUUGACCAUAUUACCCAAACAUUAAAUCACUUAAACCAACCAAUUUACAUAUUCAGUAGAUAGAAUGAGGGGAGAACUGAGUGUUAGAGAUAGCUCAAGCCUCAGUAGUAAAGAGAGUGGCUAAAAGACCCCAAAUCCUAGUAUGUCAGAGUUCACAAGAGUCUCAAAUGGACCCCGAGCAGUGCUCACACUAGGGAGGUCAGUAGUAAGAGUCUUAGUGGCCUUGGCUUUUAGCCGGACAAGAAUGAUAGGUUCCGAAUAGCACAGGUACCAAAUAAGAGUCAGUGGACAAUGGUUAAGGGACAAAAAUUGAGGAAAUACACUUAUAGCUUAAAGUAGACAUAGCAUAAUUGAAAACAUAGAACGUACUAGUUAAGAAGGCCAACAAGACUUAGAAGUAGGUUCAACACUUAGCAAAAUAACGCAUUAACAUAAAUGUGUUGAAAGACUUAGGGGAGAAACAAGUUCGCAAGAUUAACAAGAUUAUCAUACAAAGGUGCAUAAUACCAAACAAGUCUAAGUAGGGCACUAACUUAAAAGGUUUAAAGCCUAAAGGUCCAAAUUAUGCUAAGGAUUCAUCACAAUAUCAUAAGACAACCAUGUUAACUUAUAUCAUGAAACAGAACAGUAUCAAACAUGGUAGGGAAACACAAAUUAAGAAUAGCUAUUCCAAAGGUCUCAAAUAAUCACUACGGCUGCAAACCAAAACAUGUUGGGGGACAUACUAACAGAAGACCAAGUCAUAGUUGAUAGUGAGGAUCUUAAGACACAUUAUAGGAGUUCAAAACAGAGUGAAAAUGCAAGCUCAAUGUCAAAUAGCAAAUGUAGACAUUCAGGUAUCAACAUUAGGCUAAUACGAACUUAACAUGGUCUAAAUCAUUCAAGCGAACCAUAUUCAAAUAACAUAUCUCAGAACUGGUAGCUUUAGGUGAAAUUAAAUACUAAAGAGGCUCAAAGCGAGUGUAAAGCUAACAAAGUUGUACACAAAAGUAGUUCAGAAACACAUUGAGCCAUGAAUUUCAGAAAUAAGAAUAUGCAACUCUUAAAAGACACACAAGAACGAAAUUGCAAAAGUCAAGUGACUUACCAGUUAAACGGAUAACAAUAAAGAAAAAAAUUCCACAGUAUUCUGAAUCAACAAAGAGCAAGAACCCAAAAUCUUAAUGCGUCAAAGUUCCCAAGGGCUUCAAAGGAACCCCGGAAAAUGCUCGCACCAAGAAAAUGUUGAAAAAUCGAAUCCCAAUGGCCUUGGCUUUCAGCCGGCAAGUACAGAACAAGAAAAUGAGGGAAUAACAGAACAAAUAGCUUCAAUUUUUUAGUGAAAUCUAACAAUUAAGGUAUAUUUCAAAGGGGAAUGGGGAAAGGUUUAUAUAGUAGUAGAAAUCCGGCAAAGAAAUAAGAAAUAUUGUAAAAUUAACAUAAAUAAGGAAAUAAUAUCAUGUAGAAUCAGCAAAAAGUCAGAUUAGAGAAAGAUUAAGUAAACCCUAAUUAAUCGGAAAUUGGCCGGAGAUCUUAGCUAAUCAGACCCAUAUAGCCUGGCCAUGAUGCAUAUGGACGAGAUAUCAUCCAGAUUUAAGCGAUUGAAGUUGAAUGGCCAGAAUCUGAGAGAUAGUACUUGCCAUGCUGAGGCAAGUACUAAGUGAUACCAUGAUCAUGCGGGUAGUACUAAGAUAACACAUAAAAGGCAAAAAAAUCAUGAAAAGAAUCUAUGGUUGAGACGAAUUUGGAGAAAAUUGAGAUGGCGGCUAGGAUUUCUAAGGAGAGGAGAAGAGAGGAUUCAAGGGCGGAAUAUGAGAGAAAAUGAUAGGGUUUUGGGGCGGGUUAGGUUAACUAAAACGGGAGAAUGGCUAUUGGUCGUUGAUCAUUUGAGAUUAACGGCUAGGAUUAGAGGGGAAGUGAGGUAGGUCACAGAACGGGUCCCGACCGGGUUAUACUAAAGGGGUCAUUUGGUCUUGUCCAGGGGGUUAGGCUAAGGAUACUAGGCGAAUUUUGGUUCAAAAAUUAGUUUAAAGUUGGGCUACUAUUUAAAAUAUACAAAAAUAAUUUAUAAAAACACUUGAUAAAUAAAUAAAAAUAUUUAUGUACUAAAAUAAUUAAAAAUAAUAACUUAGUAUUAUAAAAAUAUAAAAUACUAUUUUGACACAAAUAAUAUAUAUAAAAACAUUUAUGCAUGAGUAUAGGCUAUUACUACAAAAUUGUGCAAAUAGCUUAACAAAUGCUAAUGUAAUUAUAUAAAAUGAAGUAAAAUUAUUUAAAAUAUAUAUUAUAGGUGAAAAUAAUAAUUUUAGGUAACUAAGUCAUCACAAAAUAAUUUGAAGAAGUAAUUAAUAAUUAUUCAAGUAAUUUAAGUACAAGAAAAUCAAUUUAAAAGCUUUAAAAAUUAUGGAAAAUUAUAGAAAAUGCUCGUAUAGAUUUUCAAGCUAAAUAAUGAUGCAAAAAUGAUGUUUUUAAAGUAUAUAUAUACUAUUUUAGAAAAUAUGAGUGCCAAAUUGGGUAUCAACACCGCGUCGCAAAUAUAUUCUGCGAGUGGGGAAAAUUUUCACUACUCUCAUGGAAGCGGGCCGUUCGCCUCGACAAGUUAAUAGAUGCAUCUAUGGUUCGUAUCGUUCGACCCUCAGCAGUGCACAGUUUAUAUUUAUAUGUUGGAUCGGAUCGUACGACCUCGACAUGACUUGCGCAUGAUAAUUCUUUGGAACUAAUAAUAAUUGAUAUUGUUCCAUUGGCUUGAGAUACAAAUUGUUAAAUGAUAAAAAUAAAUUUGGAAAUAUGUAUUAGUAAAAGGAUUGUUUAUUAUUUUUGGCUAUUUAGUUUCCAGUUAUAUUAUGUAAUUCAUGCUUAAUUAUAACAUCGGUAUUUUAUUGUUCGCCCAUAGUAAGUGUCAGAGUCGACCCCACGUCACUACUUCUUCGAGGUUAGACGGGAUACUUACUGGGUACGUGAUUUACGUACUCAUACUACACUUGCUGCACAUUUUUGUAUAGGUACAUAUAUGUCUCGUGGCGUUGUGGGUGCAGAGGCAUGGUUAAUGCUGGGACUUAGGUGAUUGCAUUCCAUGUUACGAUUCGCAGUCAGCAGAGUCUCCUUCAGAGCUAUUUAUAUUUUUCCUGUCUAAUAUGUGUUCCGGACAGAUGUUGUAUUUUAUUUUACUCCUUAGUUGAUGUUCAUGCACUUGUGACACCAGAUUUUGGGGUAAUUAUGGAUUGUUCAGUAUUAUAAUUUUGAAAAUAUUAUCACCUACUCUAUAAAACUUUAUCUCUUAUUAUUUAAUUGAAGGAAAAAAUUUGAUUUCAAAAUACUAAAAUGAGUAAUCAAGUUAAUCAAUUAUCGUUAGCUUGUCCUACAACGGGUUAGGCGCCAUCACGACAUUUAACGGAUUUGAAUCGUGACAGAACUGAUUUCAAUAUCAUAACUAUUAUUUCUAAAGUUGUAAUACAUCCAGAAAACUAUCAAAGAGCUUAUAUUGAAUUACCUCCAAACAGCUUAAGGAGGAAACAUUAUGACCAAAUGAAGGCCAGCCACUCCACAGCUAAAUGCAGAAAAUCAGCAAAUACUCUCAGCAACUUAAGAACAGCAUAAUCAACCACCACUCAAAAUCCCACUAGAAUUGAAACAAAAACCAGUAGAAAAAAAAAGGAAAGAGAAGCAGCUUUGAAUUCUUUCUUUUUGUUAUAUUUUCUGUAUCUAGACUUGAACUUUUCAACUUCUUUAUUUUUUGAAAAAAAAAAAAAUUAGUGUGGGUGAGAAAAGUAGCGUGAGGUUUUUUUGUAGACUUUUGUGUGUGUGAAAGGGAAGUGUGAGGUCUCUUUUAUAGAGUGUAAGAGGAAAAGGGGAGGAUAAAAAGGAAUCUUGUCAGCUAAAAAUUAGGGGAGGGCGUCUAUUUUUUUUAACAGAAAAUAGACAGCUGUCAUAUUUUUUUAGCAGCUGUCCUUUUCUCUAUUUUUUUCAGCACCAUACCCUUUUUUAAAGUAACCUUUUUACCCCAACGUCUAACCUAAUUUCUGGUUUUCAUUACACUUUAACCUCUUUUCUGGAAGCUUCCUAAGUAACUACUCAGAUUCUCUAAUUUUGGUGUACUCUCUAGUCUACUCAAUUCUUGCAAAUUACUUUUCUUUUAACAUUCUAUAUUACCUCCAAACAUGCAGUCUUUUAUCCAAAUUUACGGCUCUUUUUUCCUUAUCACAAUUAAACUAAACAAAGCUAAACUAGCACUAGGAUAACAACACAAAGUAAACCUAAAUUAUCAACUAAUUAACGUAUUAAUUAGGAAAAUAGAUAAUUUAAACAAGCAACACGAUUAUCAAAUGAUUUCAGAUUCAACUAAAACAAAUAACCACUUAGAAAGUCAAAAUAAUUUUAAUUAUAAACCUAAGCAUGCUUGGAUUAACAGAAAUCACCAAUUAACCCAAUCACACACUCACAUGAAAGGCGUGUAUUUGAAAUACUAAUCUAAUCGGACAAUUAAACACACAGAAUGCAAUUGUAGUUCAAGGCAAGACAGUAGUGAUGCUACUUUAUUUUGCUAAAAUGAACUAACUUGAACAAUUACAAUUAACAUAAAAAUUAAUCUGAACUAACGACACAUUAAUGAGAAAAGAGCAGAGGAGAGAAAUACCUAUAGUGUUUGAAUGGGUUGUCAAAAGAAACGGAUUUCCGGCAAGCCGGAGAAAUUGCCACACAAACACUGGCCGGAUUUCUCCAUGCGAGAUAUUGUUCUAUGCAGCAAAUAUCUCCUACUGACCCGAUAAAAUGAAGCAGAACAAGGCGAGGAUGAGUUGUGCGACCCAAUGGAGCUUGACCAAGGUUCUGGUGGUCAUGAGAUCAGUAAAGUUCAUGCAAUCAUCAAGAGAAGUCAACUGGUGUAGGUUUCGAUCUCAAAUGAGCCAGAAUUAGGGACAAAUUAAAAAAGGGAAAACUUUAAGGUUUUUGCGAUUUCUUAGAUUUGAAAUUAAAGGAUUUUGGGGAGGUUUUCUGGGAAAAUUGGUAGGAGAUUUGGGAUUAGGAGGGGAAGGAGAUUGUAUGGUGAUAAAAUUGGGCCAUUUGGUAUGGUGCCGCCGCCAUAGGGUGAUUUUCGGCGGCGGUAUGUCAGGAGAAGGGUAAUAGAUUGAGAGAUGGGGGAAAUGAAG